GACGAACGCUGGCGGCGUGCUUAACACAUGCAAGUCGAACGGAAAGGCCCCUUUGGGGGUCCUCGAGUGGCGAACGGGUGAGUAACACGUGAGUAACCUGCCCUUGACUUCGGGAUAACUUUAGGAAACUGGGGCUAAUACUGGAUAGGAAUCCUUGCUGCAUGGUGGGGGUUGGAAAGUUUCGGCGGGUUUGGAUGGACUCGCGGCUUAUCAGCUUGUUGGUGGGGUAGUGGCUUACCAAGGCUUUGUCGGGUAGCCGGCCUGGGAGGGCGACCGGCCACAUUGGGACUGAGAUACGGCCCAGACUCCGACGGGAGGCAGCAGUGGGGAAGAUUGCACAAUGAGCGGAGGCCUGAUGCAGCAACGCCGCGUGCGGGAUGACGGCCUUCGGGUUGUAAACCGCUUUCAGCAGUGGCGAAGCUUGUGGUGACGGUACCUGCAGAAGAAGCACCGGCUAACUACGUG
rnacentral:rRNA from 1 species